UUGGUCAGUUAGGGAUGAAAUCCCGGAGCUCAACUCCGGAACUGCCUUUAAUACUGCCAGUCUAGAGUCCGGAAGAGGUGAGUGGAACUCCUAGUGUAGAGGUGGAAUUCGUAGAUAUUAGGAAGAACACCAGUGGCGAAGGCGGCUCACUGGUCCGGUACUGACGCUGAGGUGCGAAAGCGUGGGGAUCGA
rnacentral:rRNA from 1 species